CAGAAAAUCAGCGUAUAUCAAGUCUGCAGUCCGCCCUGUCCGGUUCUCUGUAUGUCCCAUAACUCCUCGUUUUGCUCAGACAUUUCGUAUACAUAUGAGAGGAGGUGAAAUGAGCUAAUGCUCCGUCUGCAGAUGUGCUGUGGGUAAUUUCAGCUGUUCUCCUAAGGUUGUCCUUUAAUGCAUUGCAGGUGUUUGGUGUGUUUUUCAGCAGAUGACAGCACUGGAAGGCCGUUUUAGCUAGAUAUUCUUCUUUGCCGUUGCAAGAAAAGCUAUAUAGCUUUUUAUUGUAAUAUUCACCCUUUUCAACUACGUCACUGAAUCAUUCCAGGCGCCAUGAUGGACGUCGGGAGUGAGGGACCCAUAAAACAUCGAAGAAGAAGAAAAUAGGAUGGAGGAAAGUACUUCGACCAUCUAUGGAGAGAUCCCUGAACUGGAAACCGCAGCCUUUGCUCUGCACUUGGUGAAGUCUUGGUGGACUGGUACGUUGACUUUGGAUCAGAGAGCCUUCGCUAACCAUUAAAGUGAGUUGUUUUGUUUUUUUUUUACAGUCAGCAAUGUAGUUCUAUAUGUUAACGUAAAAUAUGAAAGAAGGUAAUUCUUGAGUUGCCAACAAAA